rnacentral:tRNA from 1 species
GGGUAGGUAGCGAAGUGGUUAAACGCAACAGACUGUAAAUCUGUCGGCUCAUGCCUUCGGAGGUUCGAAUCCUUCCCUACCCA